AAGAACAACAAAAAAAAAAAAAAAAAAGAGAGGGUUCGGCCAAGGUAUGGCCAAGCAUGGCCAUGGGAGAUUUGAUCAAGAAAAAUUAUUUCUUUCAAGCUUUUAUACUAAGUGGAAGGUUCUCUACAACGUGGAGUAUUCGUUGGAACAAGUGAAUCAUUCGUUUCGCAAAAAUGAGGUUCUAGCCGGGAAAAGGAACUAGUGCUAAGAUUAACAAGUUGGACGAAUAAGCGUAGCAAGUAAGGCGCGGCGCAGGUACACCCAGAUGAGCUGAGGCCCUUAUAGAAGAUGUUCCAGCGAAGUUGGCGAGCUCCAGUUAGCCCGGGAGUGUAGCCGAGUCAGUGUAUAUGUGCCAUGGUUUCCGAAUUGAGCUAGAGACUUUGCAGACAGAGUCGUGGGUAUAGAGCGUCAGCUUUGUAGACGGCUUCGCCUGUCAAUAUGUUAUUACGUUUCAUGUCACGCGUUCCAUAUGAUGAUACACUCUCCAAAAAAAAAAAAAAUUGAGAGCUUACUAUGCAUUUUAUUCUGAAUUGAUUCCAGAGUUUAUUUAUGUAAUAAGAGUCAGCGGGUUCGCUCGACUCCAGAUAUGGGGUCGGGUGCCCAUCACACCCUAGUAAGGUCGGGGUGUGGCAAAUACGUUGCUGCAUUAUUUGAUCGUUUUAACACGACUUGUAUUGCAUACCAUUUUAAUGCGCAAUGUCAA